GAACCAUACCAAAAGAGGUUGGAAACAUGAGACAACUGGAGUCUCUUGAUUUAUCCAAAAAUGAACUCACGGGAGGGAUUCCUGAGAGCCUGUCUAGUUUGUCUUUCCUCAAUAACUUGAACCUGUCAUUCAAUAACUUGAGCGGCCAAAUCCCAUCAGGGACCCAACUUCAGAGCUUCAGUGAGCUUAGCUAUAUUGGAAAUGCUGAUCUUUGUGGACCUCCCCUUCCCAAAAACUGCUCAAAUCAUGAUGAUGGCACAAAGACUUCGGGUGAGAAUGAUGAUGAUGAUGAUGAUGAUGAUGAAUCUGAGUUUCGGAACUGCCUCUAUAUGGGCUUAGGAGUUGGCUUUGCUGUAGGCUUUUGGGGAGUUUGUGGUGCCAUUUUCUUCAGUCGCAAGUGCAGACAUGCUUACUUCAGAUUUCUGUAUGACUUGAGAGACCGAUUUUAUGUCCUGCUGCUCACAAAUCUCAACUCCUUUCACUGAUAUCCAAUUCUCUGCAGGUAACCUCUUAACUAUGGCAUAACUAUAUAUACUUUGUAUUUUAGUAUUUUCUUACCAUCUAACAUACAUAUUUAAAAGGUAAAAUGUUUUGAGUUUUAUUUUCUGUUAUAUAUGGACAUGCACCCUUUCGAAUCAAUUAUAUUUAUUUCUUGGAUUAACUUCCACAAAUGACUUGAAUGGGUAGAGAUUUAAAAAAAAAAAUUCUUAUCUUUGCAGGUUUUUUUGAAGAACAUAAUACAUAAAAUCUCAUCAGCUGCACCUGCCAUAAAGAUCCAGCAGAUACUUCAUGCAGUGUAUUGCGCUUACAGUAUCACUAGCUAAUCAUUGAAUCCCAAUGUCACUUUUAUAUUCUAAAAUAAAGCUUAGAUAUAGUUUCUUGGUUUUGAUGCAGAAUAUUAUUUCUCUAAUCAUUUGUGUAAUGUUACUUACUGGUAUGUGAUGCAUUAAUUAUAUAUAUAGUAGGUCACAAGGAUUUGUUUCUAGUGUGAUGGUUCUACAUAGAUAUUCCAAGUGAUGAUUGUUUUCUUAUUAAUAGUUUGUGCUUUGCUAUAAGCUACUGCUUUGUGUGUACAAGAUAAUAAGUUAACAACUAAGAAGGAAAUAGUAUCUCUUAAUUUCACACCAGCUAAAUGACAGGAAAUGAAGAGUUAAUAUUGUUUGAAUGUAUGUAUAAUAAUUUAUAUUUAUUUGUUUAUUUUUAUUAGGAUAAAAGUGAGACCCACUUUAAUACAUCUAAGAAUUUUCUUAUCACAAAAUGUGUUACAUAUAUAUAAUGCUAGAGGCCUAGAAUUAAAGAGUGCUUUGCUUUACAUUUUUUGGGAAUGCAUCUCAUUUUAUUACUUGCAGUGUACAAAAUAAUGGGUGAUUUACUCUCUGUUGUUUUAAACUACUUUUGAUCAAGUCACCAAAAAAAAGACUACUUUUGGACGGGCCUAACUAUUUAAUGAAGAAGCUUUCUGUAAAAGUCCAAUACAACAAGAGCCCAACAUGAGAAUACUAUCUCCUUUACUUUACAGUUUACACCUAUCAUCCUGUGCUGAGUAACAAAGAAGUUAUCAUCCAUAAUGAAUGGUGCUCACUAGAGGAAGAAACUUUCCACAGCUGAUGGAGGAAUACACAAGUCAGUCAAGUGUCCCUAAAAUUCCACAUCUAUAAUGACUUUCCAACCACAAGAGUAAGAGAUAUGAUUCAGUUGGUCUUGCAUGAAUGGCACCUAUCGUAAUCGUACUCUUGCUAUAUAUACAUAGCUUAACAAAGAAGCGAGAUAUGAACCCUAAUUAUAAUUCAGGUUUGCUUUCUUUAAUUAAUCAAUGGAUAGCAAUAAUAUACUUUGGAAGAAGCAAUAUGUGUUUGCAAUGAUGUUGAGCACAUUAUGCAUGAUAUCCAGUUGUUGCGACGUGAGAGAUAAAGAAAUCCUGUUGAAGUUCAAAGAAGGAGUCACUGACCCAUCGGGACUCCUAUCUUCAUGGAAGCAGGAGCAGGAUUGCUGCCAGUGGAAGGGAGUCAGAUGCCACAACAUCACUGCCAGAGUCAUAAAUCUCACUCUCUCGUGUGAUUAUUAUGAUCCUGUAGAACUUGUAGAACAUGAUGAUUAUUAUUUGCAGAAAUGCCUUACAGGUGACAUCAAUCUCUCUCUAUUGGAUAUGGAAUACUUACAAUCUUUGGAUUUGAGUUUCAAUGACUUUACAACUAUCUCAUCUGAUUCCACUCUCAACUCUUCAACUCUCAAUUACAUUGAUCUAUCAUACAACAGAUACCUUUCUAUCAAGAGUCUUGAGUGGCUCUCUCGCAUUCCCUCCUUGGAAUACAUAGACCUCAGUAACAUUGAUCUUCACAUGCAAACUAACUGGCUUCACUUUGUGACGGUGCUUCCAUCAUUGGUGGAGCUCCACUUAGAGGGCUGUAACCUUGAAAGCAUAAGUCCAUCUCUAGGCUAUGCUAAUUUUAGCGCAUCACUCCAGGUUAUUGUUCUUUCCGGUAAUUCUUUUCACUCGGAGUUGCCUAAAUGGAUAUUCAAUCUUAGUUCUCAGGUCCAUCAGAUUGACCUUUCAAGUAAUCAUUUUAUGGGUCAGCUACCAAAUACGUUGCCAAAUCUUCAUUCUUUGAUUAGCCUUCAAUUGCAUGAUAAUUACUUAAAUGGCUCAAUUCCAGAUUGGAUAGGCCAACUUCACUAUCUCACCACAUUUGAAAUUGAUAACAACCAUUUUUCUGGAUUUUUUCCUACAAAUUUGGGAAAUUUGUCAUCCCUAGACACCUUGGCGGCAUUCGGAAAUCUCUUCACAGGGGUUGUGUCUGAAAGAAAUUUUGCAAAACUGAAAAAUUUGAAAUUCUUGUCUUUGGAAUCACCAUACAUCACCUUUGAUUUUGAUCCCCUCUGGAUACCACCUUUCCAACUUGACAAGCUGUACAUUGGACCACUGCACCCUACACUUCCUCAAUGGUUAUAUACACAGACAUCUCUCUAUUCUCUCAUCAUUGAAAACUCAGAGUUCUUGCUUGAAGCUGCUGACAAUAACAAGAAGUUUUGGAGAUUUACAUCCACAAUUCAGCAUCUAGAUUUCUACAACACCACAAUAGAAGGGGACUUGUCAGAAGUGGUGCUGAAUUCCAGCAUCAUAGAGCUGACAUCAAAUAAUUUCAAAGGUGGUCUACCUCGACUUUCAUCCAAUGUUGUUUUCUUCCAACUAUACAACAGUUCUCUAUCAGGGUCCAUCUCUCAUCUUUUGUGCCACAGCAAGAAAAGCAACAAGAAAUUGCAGUACUUGGACAUCUCUGAUAAUAAUUUAUCUGGAGGGCUAACAGACUGUUGGAUGAAUUGGAAGUCGCUGGUUUAUGUUAAUCUGGGAGGCAACAAUCUUAGUGGCAGCAUACCCCCUUCAAUGGCUUUAUUGUCGAAUCUCACAUCACUGCAUCUGCAUGAAAAUAAUUUGUCUGGGGACAUAUCUUCUUCAUCACUUCAGUAUUGCCGCUCCCUGUCCAUUCUUAAUGUCCGCCAGAAUAGCUUCUCUGGAAACAUACCAAAGUGGAUGCCGCAGAGUAUAAGGAUUCUCCAGUUAAGGUCCAACCAAUUCAUUGGUAACAUUCCCACACAGAUAUGUCAAAUGCCUUUCCUCAUUGUUUUGGAUAUUGCAUAUAACAAAAUCUCAGGACAUAUACCCAAAUGUCUAAACAACAUCACAUCCUUUGUUAACAUGCAUUAUUCAACCAGUUGGAUUUUCUAUGAAUUCUUUGAUGGAAAGGCUUUCUUUAUAUACAUUGACGACCUUAUAUUGCUUGUAAAAGGUCAACAAUCGAAUUAUUAUAAAAACCUGAAGCUGAUGCGCAUGGUUGAUCUUUCAAGUAAUAAUCUGACAGGAACAAUGUCUCCACAACUGUUCAGCCUCCCUCAGUUGCAUUUCUUGAACCUAUCCCAUAACAGGCUAACAGGAACCAUACCAAAAGAGAUUGGAAACAUGACACAACUGGAGUCUCUUGAUUUAUCCAAAAAUGAACUCACGGGACAGAUUCCUGAGAGUAUAUCCAGUUUGUCUUUCCUCGAUAACUUGAACCUGUCAUUCAAUAACUUGAGCGGCCAAAUCCCAUCAGGGACCCAACUUCAGAGCUUCAGUGAGCUUAGCUAUAUUGGGAAUGCUGAUCUUUGUGGACCUCCCCUUCCCAAAAACUGCUCAAAUC
rnacentral:lncRNA from 1 species